rnacentral:rRNA from 1 species
UACGGAGGAGGCAAGCGUUAUCCGGAAUUAUUGGGCGUAAAGCGUCCGCAGGUGGCACCUCAAGUCUGCUGUCAAAGACCGGGGCUUAACCCCAGAAAGGCAGUGGAAACUGAAGUGCUAGAGUGCAGUAGGGGUAGAGGGAAUUCCCGGUGUAGCGGUGAAAUGCGUAGAGAUCGGGAAGAACAUCGGUGGCGAAGGCGCUCUGCUGGACCAUAACUGACACUCAGGGACGAAAGCUAGGGGAGCGAAUGGG